GAUAAACUAGUUAGAUGCUGCAGUAACAAUGAAGAACCUCAGUGGCUCAGCUCAACACAGAUUUAUCUCUCACUCCUGCCCACUGCACAUUCGGCCGGACAGGUUGCAGUGGCCAUCCUACGAUGCUGCUAUUCAACACUAACAUCUUGGGUUUGCUUUGGCAGGGGAAGAGGAGAAGGACUCAAGCACCCGUUCUUAGAUGUUCCUGGCCCAGAGUGACACUGAGCACUUUGUUGACCGUUCAUUGGCUCAGGCUUUCCCGAGUUUCAGAAGGAAGUAUACCUAGAAAGAAUGAAGAGCGAGAGGACUUGCUGAGCUCUGUCUCUUCUUGAAAUGUCACUUGGAUUUCAUCAUCCCAAACUGCAGACUGAGCUACUCCCUGCUCAGAGAGUUCUGUGCAGCUCCUGCCUCAGCAUUCACCGCCCCAGGGCCCAGGCAUCCGGCUUCUCAGCAAUGGAAGAAACCUUCCUGCCAUUUGACAACCCCCUCCUUACCCCUCCCUUCACCCACUGGCGCCGGUAAACUAAUGAGCAAGGAUAUUGCUCUUCUGUGUGCAGCAGCUCUGCUUCUCCAAGUGCUUACAAUAGGAGGCAGGGCCAUUUUACAGUUGAGGAUAGCUUGUCAGUGGUCAGGACUUUUCUUCCUUUUUUCCAAUGUGUAUUAAGCUUCAGCUGCCUGUUGAACCACAGAAUAACUCAAUAAAUUACAAAGUAGACA